rnacentral:rRNA from 1 species
UCGCGGCCACGCCGUUAAACCCCAACUUCUGAAUGUUGACCUCGGAUCAGGUAGGAAUACCCGCUGAACUUAAGCAUAUCAAUAAGCCGGAGGAAUCGU